UUUCUAAAUUUGGAUGUAUCAUCUAAAUUUAGACAAACUUGCGACAUCCUUUAUGGGCAGAUGUAGUAUUAUCUUUGUAUGAUCGUAGUUUUAGUACUAUCUCUCACUUGUUUCAAAGCAAACAAAUAACUCAUGGUGUAAUGAACUAAUGAUGAUGAGUGCGAGUACAAGGCUUAGAAAGUUAGAAUUUGGUCUGCAACCUUUACCUUCUUUUGUUUUGAUAUAUAUCCGUGUAGGCUCAUAUGAUUUACAUCUAACAGCUUUUCUUUUGCGUCUGUUUUAAUAUACCAUAAAAGAAAAUUUGUGAUGUUUACAAAUUUCUGAAGGUCUUUCUAGUUUUGAAAUUUUGAUGAAUAUUGUCAACUAACACUUUCUAUCGCGGGACUUGGCGAAGGAACACAUUGAGGACUUUGCUUUGUUAGAUCCAUCAUCAUCCACUAACUCCAUGAAAGAUCCUGCUGAAAGUUCAAACUGAACAAAGCUUUGUACCAUGGGUGCUGAGAAGCAAGAGACCAAUAGUGGUACAAGACAGUGUUGCUGCUUCCUCUGUUGGUCAAAACACGUGGCCAGCUCGGUCAGCGGCGUCUAGAAUGUGAAGUGCUGCUGCUAGCCGCUGGAUCUGGCAUGGACAAGAAAGAAGAAAACAUUGUUGGUAGCUGUGAGUUGAAUGUAUCUCUGCACUAGAGCGUCCUAGCAGUUUAGUUAACGCAGCCGCAAGAGCAGCAGGCAGCGGUGUCCUCAGGGACACGCCAUUAGUUGAAUUGGUAUCCACCACUAUGACAACGGCCUUCUCUUAGAUUGCUACAACGGCAUCUCUCUCUCGACCCCCUUUCUCCACUCAACUUGCUUACACCGCUGCAGCCUCUUGGUGCUUCUCCCCGCUGCUUGUCCCA